rnacentral:rRNA from 1 species
AACGUAGGAGGCGAGCGUUAUCCGGAUUUACUGGGCGUAAAGCGCGUGCAGGCGGUGUUGUAAGUCGUGCGUGAAAGCUCCCAGGCUCAACCGGGAGAGGUCGUGCGAAACUACAACACUAGAGUCAGACAGAGGCAAGUAGAAUUCCGGGUGUAGUGGUGAAAUGCGUAGAGAUCCGGAGGAAUACCAGUGGCGAAGGCGACUUGCUGGGUCUGCACUGACGCUCAGACGCGAAAGCAUGGGGAGCGAACGGG